rnacentral:rRNA from 1 species
CUACGGGGGGCACCAGUGAGGAAUAUUGGUCAAUGGGCGCGAGCCUGAACCAGCCAUCCCGCGUGCAGGAUGACGGCCCUAUGGGUUGUAAACUGCUUUUCUAUGCCAAGAAACCUGAUUACGUGUAAUCAGUUGCCGGCAGCAUAGGAAUAAGCAUCGGCUAACUCCGUGCCAGCAGCCGCGGUAAUACGGAGGAUGCAAGCGUUAUCCGGAUUCAUUGGGUUUAAAGGGUGCGCAGGUGGGCCUGUAAGUCAGUGGUGAAAUGCUGCCGCUUAACGGUAGAACUGCCAUUGAUACUGCGAGUCUUGAGUAUGGUUGAGGUAGGCGGAAUGUGUUGUGUAGCGGUGAAAUGCAUAGAUAUGACACAGAACGCCAAUUGCGAAGGCAGCUUACUAAGCCAUUACUGACGCUGAGGCACGAAAGCGUGGGGAGCGAACAGGAUUAGAUACCCUCGUAGUC